AGAGAGAGAGAGUGAGAGGGGAGGGAGAAGCACAGACAGCCACACACAUGUAUUUACACAGUGCACACACACACGAGUGAUAAAAAAUGGGACAAAAUGGAGCCUAAUGUAGCUACUGAUUCCUCUCACUAAGUCACCUAACAUGUAAGUAACCAAGCGCCUAUGAAACCGUCAUGAAUUAACAUCGACUGUCAAUGGAGACACAUUUCUUCUUCUUUCUGACCACGUUAACACAUCAAGACAUUACAUUCACAAAUGAGCACGUCCACGUGUUCAAAAUAGAUAUAUUUAGAUAUAGAACACCUGCCGAACGGCUGUGAAUAAUGAACGCAUAACUAAUGCCUGGAGUAAUGAACGCCUGCAGAACAGCCGUGACUAGUGAACGCAUAACUAACGCCUUGAGUAAUGAACGCAUGUACGUGACAGCCAGUUCCGGUUACCGGGCUCCUCGGACAUGGGGAGGAGCUAGAGGUGCACCUUGUUAUGUCAUCACUCAAGAGCAACGGAGGUUUCUGAUGUCCUGUGCCUUCAGUGUGUCUCAAAUGAUAGAUAUUCUACUACAUGUGUCCCGAUCGACAGUCAACUGUCGUCUAAGACACUCAAUCUGUCACAUGCACCGUUGGCUCUGGAUGAAAAGAUUAAGGACUUGGUGGCUGGGAACGACAAACAUGGACCGGAGGCUGUUCGAGCACAAUUAAGGGCUCCGGGCGCAGAGUCGCAGAGUGAGUGACAGCAUGCUUCGUGUUAACCCAAGGGCGGCUGCCCUCAGAGCAAUGACGCAGAGGCUGCAUAGAAGGUCAUACCGUGUUGCUGGACCAAACUCGAAAUGGCACCUUGAUGGAAACCACAAACUGAUAAGGUUUGUGAUAGACACAAAUAUCUUUAUUACUGGUGAGAAGUUGUUCUUUGUAACAUCUCAAAUCGGUCAUCAACAACUUGUUCAUCAACAACUAACAGUUCAGUUUAGCAAGCAACGCCCCUUGAUACCAUUGAUAUCAUGUGGAUAAUAAUUGUUUUAUUGUGUUUCUGCUACUUCUGUGAUUGAUAGAAUAUCUGCAUCAUGAAAUGAACAAACAUGCUUAUAUUGAGGACAUAUGGAGGUGUAAGGUUCUGCUUUUCUAUUCUUAAUCAACCUUGUGUUCUUUUUCUUUGUGUUCUUGAACAUAGUCCUGUUUCUUUGUGUUCUGGAAUGUAGUCCUGUCUUUAAUUUUUGUUCAUUGAUUUCGCCUGUGUUCUUUUCUCACCUGGUCUCAUCAGCUCCCUAUUUAGUUAAGUUCUUUCUGUUUGUAUGGUUGUGAGGUAUUGUUUGUUUUUGACUGCCUACCUGUGUUUGACCAUUGCCUGCCUGUGACUACAAAUCCUGCCUUCUGUGAAGGCUUAAUAAAAAUCUGCCGGGCUCU